rnacentral:rRNA from 1 species
UGCAAGUCGAACGGCAGCGGGGGCUUCGGCCCGCCGGCGAGUGGCGAACGGGUGAGUAAUGCAUCGGAACGUACCCAGUCGUGGGGGAUAACUACGCGAAAGCGUAGCUAAUACCGCAUACGCCCUGAGGGGGAAAGCGGGGGACCUUCGGGCCUCGCGCGAUUGGAGCGGCUGAUGUCGGAUUAGCUAGUUGGUGGGGUAAAGGCCUACCAAGGCGACGAUCCGUAGCUGGUCUGAGAGGAUGAUCAGCCACACUGGGACUGAGACACGGCCCAGACUCCUACGGGAGGCAGCAGUGGGGAAUUUUGGACAAUGGGCGCAAGCCUGAUCCAGCCAUGCCGCGUGAGUGAAGAAGGCCUUCGGGUUGUAAAGCUCUUUCAGACGGAAAGAAAUCGGGCGCGUGAAUAGCGUGCCUGGAUGACGGUACUGUCAGAAGAAGCACCGGCUAACUACGUGCCAGCAGCCGCGGUAAUACGUAGGGUGCGAGCGUUAAUCGGAAUUACUGGGCGUAAAGCGUGCGCAGGCGGUUGUGUAAGACAGGUGUGAAAUCCCCGGGCUUAACCUGGGUACUGCGCUUGUGACUG